rnacentral:rRNA from 1 species
AACAAACGCUGGCGGUGCGUUUUAAGCAUGCAAGUCGUACGGUAACAGACCUUCGGGUGCUGACGAGUGGCGGACGGGUGAGUAACACGUAGGAAACUGCCUUUAAGACUGGGACAACUUGGAGAAAUUCAGGCUAAUACCGGAUAUGCUAGUAAUAGUAAAGGAGCAAUCCGCUUAAAGAUGUGCCUGCGGCUGAUUAGCUAGUUGGUAAGGUAAUGGCUUACCAAGGCGACGAUCAGUAGCCGACUUGAGAGAGUGUACGGUCACACCGGAACUGAGACACGGUCCGGACUCCUACGGGAGGCAGCAGCUAAGAAUCUUCCGCAAUGGGCGAAAGCCUGACGGAGCGACACCGCGUGAUUGAUGAAUGUCGAGAGAUUGUAAAGAUCUUUUCCUAGUGAGGAUAAUGACGUUAACUAGGGAAUAAGCCCUGGCUAAUUACGUGCCAGCCGCCGCCGUAAC